GAUGAACGCUGGCGGCGUGCCUAAUACAUGCAAGUCGAGCGAACAGACGAGGAGCUUGCUCCUCUGACGUUAGCGGCGGACGGGUGAGUAACACGUGGAUAACCUACCUAUAAGACUGGGAUAACUUCGGGAAACCGGAGCUAAUACCGGAUAAUAUAUUGAACCGCAUGGUUCAAUAGUGAAAGACGGUUUUGCUGUCACUUAUAGAUGGAUCCGCGCCGCAUUAGCUAGUUGGUAAGGUAACGGCUUACCAAGGCAACGAUGCGUAGCCGACCUGAGAGGGUGAUCGGCCACACUGGAACUGAGACCCGGUCCAGACUCCUACGGGAGGAAGCAGUAGGGAAUCUUCCGCAAUGGGCGAAAGCCUGACGGAGCAACGCCGCGGGAGUGAUGAAGGUCUUCGGAUCGUAAAACUCUGUUAUUAGGGAAGAACAAAUGUGUAAGUAACUAUGCACGUCUUGACGGUACCUAAUCAGAAAGCCACGGCUAACUACGUG
rnacentral:rRNA from 1 species